rnacentral:lncRNA from 10 species
AAAACUUUUGCCCUUUAGGAAACAGGAGCUGGUGUGGGGAGGUGGGGCAGUGGAUGUUGGUUUUUAUGAUAAGUAUAACAUUGAUGCGGGCUCUUUUUUGGUUCCAUAUGAACUUUAAAGUAGUUUUUUCCAAUUCUGUGAAGAAAGUCAUUGGUAGCUUGAUGGGGAUGGCAUUGAAUCUGUAAAUUACCUUGGGCAGUAUGGCCAUUUUCACGAUAUUGAUUCUUCCUACCCAUGAGCAUGGAAUGUUCUUCCGUUUGUUUGUAUCCUCUUUUAUUUCCUUGAGCAGUGGUUUGUAGUUCUCCUUGAAGAGGUCCUUCACAUCCCUUGUAAGUUGGAUUCCUAGGUAUUUUAUUCUCUUUGAAGCAAUUGUGAAUGGGAGUUCACUCAUGAUUUGGCUCUCUGUUUGUCUGUUAUUGGUGUAUAAGAAUGCUUGUGAUUUUUGUACAUUGAUUUUGUAUCCUGAGAUUUUGCUGAAGUUGCUUAUCAGCUUAAGGAGAUUUUGGGCUGAGACAAUGGGGUUUUCUAGAUAUACAAUCAUGUCGUCUGCAAACAGGG